rnacentral:rRNA from 1 species
UGGACUUGACAUACACCCCUUUUUCCAGCAGAUGGAUUGGAUGCUCUUCAGGGAACCGAUGAUAC